rnacentral:rRNA from 1 species
CCUACGGGUGGCAGCAGUGGGGAAUAUUGGGCAAUGGAGGCAACUCUGACCCAGCAACGCAGCGUGAAUGAUGAAGGUCUUCGGAUUGUAAAGUUCUGUGUUGGGGGAUGAACACAAUGACGGUCCCCCAUUAGCAAGCCACGGCUAACUACGUGCCAGCAGCCGCGGCAAUCCGUCGGGUGCAAGCGUUAUCCGGAAUGACUGGGCUGAAAGGGUGCGUAGGUGUUUUAGUAAGUUGGCGGUGUAAUUCCGGGGCUCAACCUCGGCGCUACCGCCAAAACUAGUAGACUAGAGUGCAGUAGGGGUAAGUGGAAUGCCUAGUGUAGCGGUGGAAUGCGUAGAUAUUAGGAGGAACAUCAGGGGCGAAGGCGACUUACUGGACUGUAACUGACACUGAGGCACGAAAGCGUGGGGAGCAAACAGGAUGAGAUACCCCAGUAGUC